UGACGUUGGGAAAGCGAGCGGCGGAUGGGUGAGUAACACGUGGGGAACCUGCCCCUAAGUCUGGGAUACCAUUUGGAAACAGGUGCUAAUACCGGAUAAUAAAGCAGAUCGCAUGAUCAGCUUUUGAAAGGCGGCGUAAGCUGUCGCUAAGGGAUGGCCCCGCGGUGCAUUAGCUAGUUGGUAAGGUAACGGCUUACCAAGGCGACGAUGCAUAGCCGAGUUGAGAGACUGAUCGGCCACAUUGGGACUGAGACACGGCCCAAACUCCUACGGGAGGCAGCAGUAGGGAAUCUUCCACAAUGGACGCAAGUCUGAUGGAGCAACGCCGCGUGAGUGAAGAAGGUUUUCGGAUCGUAAAGCUCUGUUGUUGGUGAAGAAGGAUAGAGGUAGUAACUGGCCUUUAUUUGACGGUAAUCAACCAGAAAGUCACGGUUAACUACGUGCCAGCAGCCGCGGUAAUACGUAGGUGGCAAGCGUUGUCCGGAUUUAUUGGGCGUAAAGCGAGCGCAGGCGGAAAAAUAAGUCUAAUGUGAAAGCCCUCGGCUUAACCGAGGAACUGCAUCGGAAACUGUUUUUCUUGAGUGCAGAAGAGGAGAGUGGAACUCCAUGUGUAGCGGUGGAAUGCGUAGAUAUAUGGAAGAACACCAGUGGCGAAGGCGGCUCUCUGGUCUGCAACUGACGCUGAGGCUCGAAAGCAUGGGUAGCGAACAGGAUUAGAUACCCUGGUAGUCCAUGCCGUAAACGAUGAGUGCUAAGUGUUGGGAGGUUUCCGCCUCUCAGUGCUGCAGCUAACGCAUUAAGCACUCCGCCUGGGGAGUACGACCGCAAGGUUGAAACUCAAAGGAAUUGACGGGGGCCCGCACAAGCGGUGGAGCAUGUG
rnacentral:rRNA from 1 species